AUUGAACGCUGGCGGCAUGCUUUACACAUGCAAGUCGAACGGUAACAGGCCUUCGGGUGCUGACGAGUGGCGAACGGGUGAGUAAUGCAUCGGAACGUGCCCAAUCGUGGGGGAUAACGUAGCGAAAGUUACGCUAAUACCGCAUAAGCCCUGAGGGGGAAAGUGGGGGACCGCAAGGCCUCACGCGAAUGGAGCGGCCGAUGUCAGAUUAGCUAGUUGGUGGGGUAAAGGCUCACCAAGGCGACGAUCUGUAGCGGGUCUGAGAGGAUGAUCCGCCACACUGGGACUGAGACACGGCCCAGACUCCUACGGGAGGCAGCAGUGGGGAAUUUUGGACAAUGGGCGCAAGCCUGAUCCAGCCAUGCCGCGUGUGGGACGAAGGGCCUUCGGGUUGU
rnacentral:rRNA from 1 species